GACGAACGCUGGCGGCGUGCUUAACACAUGCAAGUCGAACGGAAAGGCCCUGCUUUUGUGGGGUGCUCGAGUGGCGAACGGGUGAGUAACACGUGAGUAAACUGCCCUUGACUUUGGGAUAACUUCAGGAAAAUGGGGCUAAUACCGGGGAGGAGCUCCUGCUGCAUGGGGGGGGUUGGAGAGAGUCGGCGGUGUGGGAUGGAAUAGAGGGUUAUCAGCUGGUUGGUGGGGUAGGUGAGUACCACGGCUUUGAAGGGUAGCCGGCCUGAGAGGGUGACCAGCCCCCUUAGGCCUGAGGUACGGACCAGACUGCUACCGGCGGCAGCAGGCGGGAAUAUUGCACAAUGGGCCGAAGCCUGAUGCAGCAACGCCGCGUGCGUGAUGACGGCCUUCGGGUUGUAAACCGAUUUCUCCUGUGACGAAGAGUGAGUGACGGUACUGGGUCAAGAAGCACCGGCUAACUACGUG
rnacentral:rRNA from 1 species